UACGUAGGGUGCGAGCGUUGUCCGGAAUUAUUGGGCGUAAAGAGCUCGUAGGCGGUCUGUCGCGUCGAUCGUGAAAACUUGGGGCUUAACCCUGAGCUUGCGGUCGAUACGGGCAUGACUGGAGUUCGGCAGGGGAGACUGGAAUUCCUGGUGUAGCGGUGAAAUGCGCAGAUAUCAGGAGGAACACCGGUGGCGAAGGCGGGUCUCUGGGCCGAUACUGACGCUGAGGCACGAAGGUCAGAGGAGCAAACGGG
rnacentral:rRNA from 1 species